rnacentral:tRNA from 1 species
UCUCAUGGCGUAGUGGUUAACGCGCCCCAACUAGAGAUCGGGGAGUCGUGAGUUCGAUUCUCACUGAGA